GAUGAACGCUGGCGGCGUGCCUAAUACAUGCAAGUCGAGCGAACAGACUAGGAGCUUGCUCCUCUGACGUUAUCGGCGGACGGGUGAGUAACACGUGGAUAACUUACCUAUAAGACUGGGAUAACUUCGUGAAACCGGAGCUAAUACCGGAUAAUAUACUGAACCGCAUGGUUCAAUAGUGAAAGACGGUUUUGCUGUCACUUAUAGAUGGAUCCGCGCCGCUUUAGCUAGUUGGUAAGGUAACGGCUUACCAAGGCGACGAUGCGUAGCCGACCCGAGAGGGUGAUCGGCCACACUGGAACUGAGACACGGUCCAGACUCCUACGGGAGGCAGCAGUAGGGAAUCUUCCGCAAUGGGCGAAAGCCUGACGGAGCAACGCCGCGUGAGUGAUGAAGGUCUUCGGAUCGUAAAACUCUGUUAUUAGGGAAGAACAAAUGUGUAAGUAACUAUGCACGUCUUGACGGUACCUAAUCAGAAAGCCACGGCUAACUACGUG
rnacentral:rRNA from 1 species